GCCGGCCAAGCUCUUAACCGUAGGAGGGAGGGCUCUGCAGACCUUUUGGUCUUUGUUCUAAUGCUAACCUAGUGAUAGCUACCACACACACAGGGCACAGAGCCUGUAAAACAAAACAUCAGCUUCGCUCCCCAGGCAGCCACCUUGACAAUUUUGUUUCCUUCCAGAGCGCUGAGACUUAGACCAGCAGAUAUGUGUGCAUUUCCUCGUUGAAAUCACAGACGGAGCAUAACAGCCAAAAUGCCUCUGGGUUCCAUCUCUCCAUUCUCCUGCCACUUUGAAAAUUAUCUGCUGAUACAGACCAGGCCUGGAAAGGACGGCAGGAGCAGGAAAGCAGCUGGCAUGUUGGGAAGAUGGACCGGGAGUGAUUUAUUUCCAGGGACUUGAUAUUUUAGGUUAUUGUUGUUGUUAUAUGUGUGCAAUAAAUCAUAUUUUAAAAUAUCUA